rnacentral:rRNA from 1 species
UCAGCGACUGCGGAGGAUCAUUAUGAAUCAGUAGCUUGCUACUGUGUUGGGGGAGAAUGGGAAAGUUCUGGCUGAAAAGCUAAUGUACCGGUACCUGCACCCCUAUCAUACCCUUGUCUUUUGAGUACUUAUGUUUCCUUGGUAGGCUUGCCUACCAAAAGGACAAACUUGAAACCUUUUUAAGUAUCAAUCAGCGUCUGAAAAUAAAUUAAUAUUUACAACUUUCAACAACGGAUCUCUUGGUUCUGGCAUCGAUGAAGAACGCAGCGAAAUGCGAUAAGUAGUGUGAAUUGCAGAAUUCAGUGAAUCAUCGAAUCUUUGAACGCACAUUGCGCCCCUUGGUAUUCCAUGGGGCAUGCCUGUUCGAGCGUCAUUUGUACCCUCAAGCUAUGCUUGGUGUUGGGUGAUUGUCCUCUCUAGGACUCGCCUCAAAGUCAUUGGCAGCCAGUAUUUUGGUAUAAAGCGCAGCACAUUUUGCGAUUUACUCCAGUAAUAUUAGCACCCAUUAAGCUCAAUUAUCACUUUUGACCUCGGAUCAGGUAGGGAUACCCGCUGAACUUAAGCAUAUCAAUAGGGC